rnacentral:misc_RNA from 1 species
GGAUAACGAGGGAGGAGUAGGAGAAGGCUUUGGAAGACAGAGAAAAGAAUGGUGGGCGCCUCCUCUCUGCAACCAAGACUCCUCUCUUCUUUUGUUGGAGAUCGCUUUAUUCAAUCCACACAGCCUCUCUGUAAACUCUUUCACUACAAUCCAGGUCUCUUUUACUUUUCUUGUGUUAUACCAUCAAAUUUGUAUUUGUGUUUUCAAGUUCAUAUUCAAUCAUCUGGUUGUUUGGUACCAGAAAUUUUGAUUUUCUCAUCGAAAUAUUUAAUAACCAGUUGAAAUUUACGAGUUUCCAAGGAUUUUAAAGCAUUGGGUAUUGGAUUCUUUCAUUUUAUGUCAAUCACUGUCUUUCUGCUUUUAGCUCUUAAAAAAAAAUCAGAUGGGAGGAAAAAGUUGCUUGAACAUAAAUAUGAAUUGGCUUUAGUCAAAGCUGUCAUUUCCCCUGUGUUCUGUCUCUUAAUUACCAGGUUGUUCUGCUAUGGGAUGUUAGAUGCCAUUGCAAUUUGACUAAAGUUAUAAAAGAAGCUUCUUUAGGUAAUAGGAUGUGUGGAAUUCAGCUUUUGUUAGCUUUAGGUGGAGUGAAAAAUUUGUUAUGGUGUUAUGACACAAUUGGCCUCUCCAAUUAGAAUGCUCAGUGUAAAACGGGCAAGCUGUGUUACUGCUAACUCAUGAUAAUGUUGCUAGUGAAGCUGUUUUGUUGAGAUCCACUAAAUAUUAAUAUCUUUAAAAAUCUUUUUUAUAAAUUUGGGUAACAGACUUAGUUCCUGCAAUUUUCGGCUGUUAAUUCUGUAAUAUAACAAUAGCAAUUCUUUUUGGGUCUUUUUAAUUUCACAAACAGGAAGCAAACAUGUAUCAAUGCAAUUAUCCAGAGGAUUUUCUGGCUUAACUGAUUUUCUGUUCAAUAAAAGGUAUGUUAUGCAAAAAUGUAUCUUCACUUGGAUGCUGUUAAGAUACUGUCAUUCUUUUUCUCAUUGUCCUCCCCAUUGAAUUUUUUUCAUCGUACUGACAUAAUGGAAUUCCGAGAUGCACUAUGCGAUGUUGUUUUCUAUACAUUUUGUGGCACCCACUUGUUCAAAUAAACAUGCAUGCAUAUUCCUGUACACAUACUCCUCUCACAGUAUUCGACAAUUGUAGUCUGUUGCGCUGUAAUUUACUGACCUUAUAUAUUGAAGGGCUUUUGUGGCCUUCUGUGUUAAUGUUGGUUUGUUUUGGUUGAAUUCUUGAUCCGUUCAUGGCUUUUCUUUAGACAUUUUGAAUGGGCUUGAGGGAUUUGAAUGGACGUCAUCUCUGUUGCUUUUACAAUAUGCAUAGUUAAAAGAUAUGUGAACAUGCAGGGAAAAAAAAAAAAGAAACAUGUAAACUGCAAACACAGACAUCUAGGUACAUUUGACAGAUUCAUCAUUGAAAUGAGCAGAAAUCUUGAUGAAGUGGCAAACAGCAAGCGCAGACGUCUAAGGCCUGGAAAAGUAUCACCUCGUCGACCUGUCCCAAAUCAUAUACCAAGGCCAUCCUAUGUUAAUUCUUGGCAAUCACCUGGAAUUGCAAGUGGACCUGAAGUACAUGAUGAGAAGGGGAUCGAGUGCAUGAGAGCUUCUGGAAGGCUUGCGGCACAGGUUCUUGAAUUUGCGGGGACUCUAGUCAAGCCAGGCAUAAAGACAGAUGAAAUUGAUGAAGCAGUUCACCAGAUGAUAAUAGAUAAUGGAGCAUAUCCCUCACCUCUUGGCUAUGGUGGAUUUCCUAAGAGUGUUUGCACAUCAGUGAAUGAGUGCAUUUGCCAUGGAAUACCAGACUCCUGUGCUCUUGAGGAUGGUGAUAUUAUCAAUAUUGAUGUUACAGUGUAUCUAAAUGGUUAUCAUGGUGAUACAUCAGCAACUUUCUUUUGUGGAGAAGUUGAUGACAAAGCCAGAAACCUGGUUCAGGUAACUGAAGAAUGCCUUUAUAAAGCAAUAUCAAUAUGUGCACCAGGAGUGGAGUUCAAGAAAAUUGGCCAAACAAUACAGUAUGGCAUCUUCUUUGGCAGUUCUUUUACAAUCUGAGAUUUUAUCCAUUUUCCUGCAUGCAGAAAUAUGUGGUAGGAUGAUGAAUUGAUUUUUCAGAAGUAGAUAAUUUGUUUUCUAGGUUGCCAUUUUCAUUUUCUACUUCUAAUUUCCUUGGCUUAGCUUUCUCCUCUUGUCUCUAGUUGCAUCGGAUAGAAUACUCAUGUUGGUUAUUUACUAUUAACUUAAUCAAUUGUCCGACUCAAGAACUUGAAUAAUGUCCAAUGACUACUUGAGUCUUGAGGAAAAUGGAAAUUGUUCCAGAAUUUCAUCAGUUUGUUGAAGGCAGCAUUAGCAUUUUUUAUUUGAUACAUGUCAUGUAAUGUGAAUUAUACAUAUUCAAAUUUCUUGCCUUGAUUGUAUACUCAUUGAUAACUAAUAUUUUUCUUUCCAAAGUGACCAUGCAGAUAAAUAUCGUUACGGUAUUGUGCAACAGUUUGUUGGCCAUGGUGUUGGACGUGUUUUCCAUGCUGAUCCAGUUAUUCUACACUACAGUACUUACACCGAUCUUGAUGCUUUAUUGGCUAUAUGCUGGUUUAGUUAUUCCAUGAUUUAGUUAGAUGAUAUCCAUGUGUGGGUUUUAUCCUCUUAGCAAAAAUUAGGUCCGACCAUUUGAAACUUUGAUUAUUAGGUAACAUUAUCAAUAAUUAUACCUUAAGAGUUCUGAUUAAAUCGACUGUACAGGACUAAAUUCAUGGUGAAGUUGUAUCUGGCCAAAGAUUUGGAUUUUGCCUGAAUUCUCAAGAUACUUCUCUUUUUAAUUUUAUCAAAAAAUAAUAAAAAGGGUACUAACUACUGUUAAGUAGCAUAAAGGAGCAACAUGUAAAGGACUAGUCGCUUACCCUUCCAUUCUGCAAUUCUUUUCAGGAAACAAUUAUGGUGGACGCAUGAUGUUGAAUCAAACCUUCACUAUUGAGCCAAUGCUGACAAUGGGUAGCAUUAAUCCGGUAAUGUGGAAUGAUAACUGGACAGUUGUUACAGAAGAUGGAAGCCUAUCAGCACAGUUUGAGCACACCAUUUUAAUAACAAAAGAUGGGGCUGAGAUACUGACCCAAUGUUGAAUGUGUAUUUUCAGAGUGCAUCUGUCCAUCUUCAGGAUUUACACCAUCUACAUGCGAUUGAAUUGGCCUCUUUGGAUUGUAAGUUGUAUCUUAAUCAUGACCCAUUUUUGAAACUCGAAAGGCGUCCUGCAAAUUACAUGAAUUCAUUCACUGUUAACUGUAAGCAUGUUAAAUUAUACUGAAUAAUAUUUCCUGAUGAAAUGAAUAUAAUGAAUUGUCAGACUGAUUCCACC